rnacentral:rRNA from 1 species
UACGUAGGGGACGAGCGUUGUCCGGAUUCAUUGGGCGUAAAGCGCGCGUAGGCGGUUUGGUAAGUCGGAUGUGAAAACCAGGGCUCAACCCUGGGAUGUCGACCGAUACUGUCGGACUAGAGUUCGGAAGAGGCGAGUGGAAUUCCCGGUGUAGCGGUGAAAUGCGCAGAUAUCGGGAGGAACACCAACGGCGAAGGCAGCACUCUGGGCUGGAACUGACGCUGAGGAGCGAAAGCGUGGGUAGCAAACAGG